AAUCCAUGUUGAGGACAUUUCUGCAGGAGCUCCUUGAACCUCUCCCUAUGUCUCAAAUAGAGACUCCAAUUUCCAUUUGCAUGAAGGAGGAUAUUUUAUUCCUAAGCUU